UACGUAGGGUGCGAGCGUUGUCCGGAAUUAUUGGGCGUAAAGAGCUCGUAGGUGGCUUGUCACGUUGGGUGUGAAAGCUUGGGGCUUAACUCCAGGUCUGCAUUCGAUACGGGCUGGCUAGAGGUAGGUAGGGGAGAACGGAAUUCCUGGUGUAGCGGUGAAAUGCGCAGAUAUCAGGAGGAACACCGAUGGCGAAGGCAGGUCUCUGGGCAUUAACUGACGCUGAGGAGCGAAAGCAUGGGGAGCGAACAGG
rnacentral:rRNA from 1 species